rnacentral:lncRNA from 1 species
ACACACACACACACACACACACACACACACACACACACAAUGGUCAUUGCAGUAUUGUCUAGCAUCCUUGGCUCCUAAAUACCAGGAACCUUCACCACCACCAUCACCACCUCACCCCCCACCCCAACACACACACACACACACACACACACACACACACACACACACACACACAGUGACAACUAAAAAAAAUCCCCCCACAGAUACCCAAAACAUCCCCUAGAGGGCAGUGCACCCUGUUGUUGAGAACUGAUUUAGAAGAAUAAAUGAGGCCUAGGGCCUUCCCAUGAGUUAAGAGGAGAGUUUAGCUUAGCUUCAGGAUAUCCACACCUACUCACUGGUUCUUCCCUGGAAGGAUGAGGGACCAGAGAAGGUACAGAUUUUACCUGUCUAGGUUAUGAGGGACCAAGUGGAUAUGCCUGAGCUCAGCUAAGGGAAGCUCUGCCCUAUAAGCUAGGCUGGACAACAUUCUUGACAACCAAUCUAUUGCCCUUCACUUAUCUAGCCCCUUAUCAGGGUAAUACAAAGGGCUCAGAUUCUGGAGCCAGACUGCCUGAGUUCUGGUCCUAGCUCAAACAUUUAUUUGUUUUGGGCAGGUUAUUUAAUAUUUAUGUGCCUCAGUUUCUUCAUUUAUAAAAUGGGGAUAAUAAUAGUAUCUAUGUCAUAAAGCAGCAAGAAUUAAAUGAGUUAAUAUAUGUAAACGUGCUUAGAAUGGGAUCUGACACACAACUACUUACAAAUCUUAGAUAUUACUAUUAUCAUCACCAUUCAUAUUCUGUAGGUAGCAUAAGGCUGAGGAAUCACCCCAACUUGGGGGUGAGCAUCACUGAAGAUCCUAAGUCUCAUGUAACCUGAGCCAACAAAGAGUUAUGUGCAGGUAAGGAUACUCUCAAGUGAUCUAGUGGGGGUGGCUCCCUUUGCUUCAUGUGGAUUGGUGAGUAAGGAAAGCCUAUGAUGAUGAUGACCAUGAUGAUGAUGAUGAUGAUGAUGAUGAUUGAAGCAUGAUGCUGAGAGGAAGGGUUCACCCUAACCCGAUGACUGCAGGAGAGAAAGAGCCAACAAAGGAAUGAGGAAGCUCUUCCUGCACCCUAGUGAACAGGCUGACUUUCUAAUUAUCUGUGGACUGUGAAUCUCUGCCUUUGUAGAUCUGGAGUCAAAGCUGCCACCUAAACAACCAGAAGGAAAGGCACCAUCUUACACAAAAAGCAAACCUCAGGCCAGGCGCGGUGGCUCAUGCCUGUAAUCCCAGCACUUUGGAAGGCCGAGGUGGGCGGAUCAUGAGGUCAGGAGAUUGAGACCAUCCUGGCUAACACGGUGAAACCCCAUCUCAACAAAAAUGCAAAAUAUUAGCCAGGCCUGGUGGCGGGUGCCUGUAGUCCCAGCUGCUUGGGAGGCUGAGGCAGGAGAAUCGCUUGAACCCGGGAGGCGGAGCUUGCAGUGAGCUGAGAUCACACCACUGCACUCCAGCCUGGGCGACAGAGCCAGACUCUGUCUCAAAAAAAAAAAAAAAAGCAAACCUCCUGACCCCCACCCUCAGUUUUCAGAGGCACAGACAGCAGAGGAGCUACAUUUGCAGAGAAGAUGAUGAAGGAAGACAGCAGCUCACUGGAGAGUGAUUCCUGUGAGGGCAAGUUUUCAGGGACCGAGCACAGCAGGGACAAGGAAGCUGCCAGAAGCCACUCCCACUGCAAACAGUUCCAAAAAUAAGGGAAACUCAGCAAGGGAAAGAGGGUGGAGGGAAUGGCAAAGAGGUGGGCACCGAGGGCAGCUCCCAAAAAGGACAUUAGGGCAGGGAUUAGUUGCAAGAGGAGGAGAUGGAAGAGAUGAAAGUGGAAAGAGCUGACUCUAGAUUGGGGCAAGAUCAAGGGGACAUCAAGGGUCCUACCCAGCAGCAACACUAAGUCUCUGAAAUUAGAAUUGCAGGAUCAUCCAGGGAGCAGAAUCCUUCUACCUUUAGCUGCCUGAAACUUCACCAAGAUGUACAUAUUUGGACUUCAGGAACAUAAUUACAACUAUAUCCCCUGCUUGGAUUGCCAGACCUCUCCCACGUAUAGAUGGGACUAUUAUCCCAGCUCUGCCACCCCUACGCAGUUGAAAAAAAUACCAAAACAGAUAUCAGCGAUAUGGAUGUGAUAUUGUGAUAUAAUAAGAAAUAUAUAUUUGGUUUUCCUCCUUCAGUUUUGGCACAGUGGGUUCCAGCACACAGCUCCUAAAACCCUUAGAAUUUCCUAAGUGAGCCAGGUGCAGUGGUACAUGCCUGUAGUCCCAGUUUCUCAGGAGGCUGAGGUGGGAGGAUUGCACCUGUGAAUAGCCACUGUACUGAAGACUGGGUAACAUAGUGAGACCUUAUCUCUAGAAACAAAUUUUUUAGUUAAAAAAAAUUAAAGAAUAUCCUGAGUGUUAGGAGGGGA